rnacentral:rRNA from 1 species
CCUACGAGAGGCUGCAGUGAGGAAUAUUGGUCAAUGGACGAAAGUCUGAACCAGCCAAGUAGCGUGAAGGAUGACUGCCCUAUGGGUUGUAAACUUCUUUUAUAAAGGAAUAAAACGAGGCACGUGUGCCUUUUUGCAUGUACUUUAUGAAUAAGGAUCGGCUAACUCCGUGCCAGCAGCCGCGGUAAUACGGAGGAUCCGAGCGUUAUCCGGAUUUAUUGGGUUUAAAGGGAGCGUAGAUGGGUUGUUAAGUCAGUUGUGAAAGUUUGCGGCUCAACCGUAAAAUUGCAAUUGAUACUGGCAGUCUUGAGUACAGUUGAGGUAGGCGGAAUUCGUGGUGUAGCGGUGAAAUGCUUAGAGAUCACGAAGAACUCCGAUUGCGAAGGCAGCUUACUAAACUGCCACUGACAUUGAUGCUCGAAAGUGUGGGUAGCAAACAGGAUUAGAUACCCGAGUAGUC